GCUGUAUUGUUUAUUCUACCAAUUAUCAUAAUAAUGAUUUCUCUGAACGACUUGGUAAUUUCCUUGCCAGUGGCUUUAUUAAUUUUCUUCGCCAUUAUAUUUCUACCAAUUUUGUUCAUAAACUACAAAUUGUUUAAGAUUUCAAGAGAAGGGCGACAUGACAACACAGCAUCACCCGAGGAAUCAACCUUGCAUGUCAAUUUAAAGAAGAUUCAUACUUGUUUGUUGGCAGUUGCCUGUUUGGUGUUGAUGUACACUCCUGCGUUCUUCUUCAUUGCGUUGAAAUUCGCUGAGUAAUGGUCACAAAAUGCGAGUGUGUUUGAAUUUUGGGUUGCCACCGUAGCUUCUACGAAUUCUACAUUGAACUGUUUGAUUUUUUUCUGGAAGAAUGACGUUUGCGCAGAGAAGGAAAAAAGAUAUUGAAGACCUUGAAAAACCGUCUUCUCCCGUGCUGAAGUUGGCCCAUCUUAAAUUAUCGAUGUUUGCCUAGUUCCGUAAAACGAAUUGUUCAUCUGGACAUACAACACGUCUGUCGUUUUAAAGGUUAAGGAUAAUAAAUCAGCCAAAUAUGGCGAAUAUAUAUAUAUUGUAUGCCUUUUAUUAGAAAACAGUUGGAUAGAAUGUAGCUAAUAAUAACGGUAAUCACCGAGUAUUUUCAUAACACUGUCCUAUUUAGACUGUAGGCCUACAUGAAAUAAUAUGAG